UUUUUUUUCAAAUGAAUUGAAUGGUUCAGCACGUUGAUGUUUCAGUUUUAUUCAAAAAGGGCUUCACCACUUCAUGGGAAUAAAAUAUGUGUAUACUUUUCCAUGUAGGCUCACAAAUGAAACAUAAAUUUUUCUAAAAACAUGAAUCCCUUGAAAAUCAAAUAUGUUUUGCACUUUCUUUAUUAUCCAAAUAUGGCAUUUUGAUACAUGUCAGGGUUAGCUGUGAUGGGCUCAAAAAUUUUAAAGGUAAUUUAGGGAUGAAGAAAGAAUGCUCAAAUUUUCGAAACCAAUCCCUUUUUAUGCAUUUCAAGCUUUGGAUUUUUCAAGGGUUUGGGUUACCUUUAUUUAGCAUCCAUCUCACUUAGUAUUAAGAGUGGCUUUAAGGCCUUUAAGGUUUGCUGGAGAUUACCUUUUUGCUGGUUUUUCACCUUAGAG
rnacentral:lncRNA from 1 species